UACAGAGGUCCCGAGCGUUAGGCGGAAUCACUGGGCUUAAAGCGUGUGUAGGCGGAUCUGUAAGUACCUUGUGAAAUCCCAUGGCUCAACCAUGGAACUGCUUGGUAUACUGCGGAUCUUGAGCUAGCUAGGGGCAACCGGAACAGACGGUGGAGCGGUGAAAUGCGUAGAUAUCGUCUGGAACGCCAAUGGUGAAAACAGGUUGACUGGGGCUAUGCUGACGCUGAGACACGAAAGCCAGGGGA
rnacentral:rRNA from 1 species